rnacentral:rRNA from 1 species
AUGGGAACGCGAAGAACCUUACCUAUUCUUGACAUCCAGAGAACUUAGCAGAGAUGCUUUGGUGCCUUCGGGAACUCUGAGACAGGUGCUGCAUGGCUGUCGUCAGCUCGUGUUGUGAAAUGUUGGGUUAAGUCCCGCAACGAGCGCAACCCUUAUCCUUUGUUGCCAGCGGUCCGGCCGGGAACUCAAAGGAGACUGCCAGUGAUAAACUGGAGGAAGGUGGGGAUGACGUCAAGUCAUCAUGGCCCUUACGAGUAGGGCUACACACGUGCUACAAUGGCGCAUACAAAGAGAAGCGACCUCGCGAGAGCAAGCGGACCUCAUAAAGUGCGUCGUAGUCCGGAUUGGAGUCUGCAACUCGACUCCAUGAAGUCGGAAUCGCUAGUAAUCGUAGAUCAGAAUGCUACGGUGAAUACGUUCCCGGGUCUUGUACACACCG